GGUCAGCUUGAUUUAUCGGUACAAUCAGGCUACUUGCUAUGUAGUCCCUUUAAAGGAUCAGUGUUCGACUCACUGGCUGACCG
rnacentral:tRNA from 1 species